rnacentral:rRNA from 1 species
UGGGGAAUUUUGGACAAUGGGCGCAAGCCUGAUCCAGCCAUUCCGCGUGCAGGAUGAAGGCCUUCGGGUUGUAAACUGCUUUUGUACGGAACGAAAAGGUGGCCUCUAAUACAGGUUGCUAAUGACGGUACCGUAAGAAUAAGCACCGGCUAACUACGUGCCAGCAGCCGCGGUAAUACGUAGGGUGCAAGCGUUAAUCGGAAUUACUGGGCGUAAAGCGUGCGCAGGCGGUGAUGUAAGACAGAUGUGAAAUCCCCGGGCUUAACCUGGGAACUGCAUUUGUGACUGCAUCGCUAGAGUACGGCAGAGGGGGAUGGAAUUCCGCGUGUAGCAGUGAAAUGCGUAGAUAUGCGGAGGAACACCGAUGGCGAAGGCAAUCCCCUGGGCCUGUACUGACGCUCAUGCACGAAAGCGUGGGGAGCAAACAGG